rnacentral:rRNA from 1 species
AUUGAACGCUGGCGGCAUGCUUUACACAUGCCAGUCGAACGGUAACAGGCCGCAAGGUGCUGACGAGUGGCGAACGGGUGAGUAAUGCAUCGGAACGUGCCCAGUCGUGGGGGAUAACUACUCGAAAGAGUAGCUAAUACCGCAUACGAUCUAUGGAUGAAAGCGGGGGACCGUAAGGCCUCGCGCGAUUGGAGCGGCCGAUGUCAGAUUAGGUAGUUGGUGGGGUAAAGGCUCACCAAGCCAACGAUCUGUAGCUGGUCUGAGAGGACGACCAGCCACACUGGGACUGAGACACGGCCCAGACUCCUACGGGAGGCAGCAGUGGGGAAUUUUGGACAAUGGGCGCAAGCCUGAUCCAGCAAUGCCGCGUGCAGGAAGAAGGCCUUCGGGUUGUAAACUGCUUUUGUACGGAACGAAACGGCUCUGGUUAAUACCCGGGGCUAAUGACGGUACCGUAAGAAUAAGCACCGGCUAACUACGCG